GGUGAACGCUGGCGGCGUGCCUAAGACAUGCAAGUCGAGCGGGGCAGGUUUAUACCUGUUCAGCGGCGGACGGGUGAGUAACGCGUGGGUGACCUACCCGGAAGAGGCGGACAACCUGGGGAAACCCAGGCUAAUCCGCCAUGUGGUCCUAUCCUGUGUGGUAGGACUAAAGGGGCGACCCGCUUCCGGAUGUGCCCGCGUCCCAUCAGCUAGUUGGUGGGGUAAAGGCCCACCAAGGCGACGACGGGUAGCCGGUCUGAGAGGAUGGCCGGCCACAGGGGCACUGGGACACGGGCCCCACUCCUACGGGAGGCAGCAGUUAGGAAUCUUCCGCAAUGGACGGAAGUCGGACGGAGCGACGCCGCUUGGAGGAGGAAGCCCUUCGGGGUGUAAACUCCUGAACUGGGGACGAAAGCCCUGUGUAGGGGGAUGACGGUACCCAGGUAAUAGCGCCGGCCAACUCCGUG
rnacentral:rRNA from 1 species